CUGCUCACUUUGGCAGCAUAUAUGCAUAGAUAAGCCUGGAAUAAUACAGAGGAGAUUAGCAUGAACUCUGAGCAAAGGUGACACAUAAAUUCAUGAAGCAUUCCAUAUUUUU
rnacentral:snRNA from 1 species